AUACGGAGGGUGCAAGCGUUAAUCGGAAUUACUGGGCGUAAAGCGCACGCAGGCGGUUUGUUAAGUCAGAUGUGAAAUCCCCGGGCUCAACCUGGGAACUGCAUCUGAUACUGGCAAGCUUGAGUCUCGUAGAGGGGGGUAGAAUUCCAGGGGUAGCGGUGAAAUGCGUAGAGAUCUGGAGGAAUACCGGUGGCGAAGGCGGCCCCCUGGACGAAGACUGACGCUCAGGUGCGAAAGGGUGGGGAGCAAACAGGAUUAGAUACCCUGGUAGUCCACGCCGUAAACGAUGUCGACUUGGAGGUUGUGCCCUUGAGGCGUGGCUUCCGGAGCUAACGCGUUAAGUCGACCGCCUGGGGAGUACGGCCGCAAGGUUAAAACUCAAAUGAAUUGGCGGGG
rnacentral:rRNA from 1 species